UGUAACUGGGAUUACAGGAGAGAGACACCACACCCAACUUAUAAAUAAAUAAAUAAGAAAUGUUUAAUGCACACAAAGACUUGCACACAAAUGUUCACAGACUUUUUACAAUGUAUUACCAAGCUAUAAAGCAGGAACCAAGUUGUGGAACAUGUUCACAGUGGAAUUCUGUUCAGCAAUAAGAAGGAAUGAAUUCUUGCUACAUGCAGCAACAUGAAUAGAUUUCAAAAUAACUAUGAACAAAAUAAGGCAACCAAGAAUGUAUGAUUCAGUUUCCAUCAUGUUCUAGAAAAUGCAAACUAAUCUAUUGUGAAAGAAAGCAUUUCAGUUGCCUGCAGACAGGAGGGGUCAGAGGAAGAGAUUCUAAAUGGACACGAGGCAUCACUGUUGUGUGGACAGGCAAAAUGUGGCUGACCUGUGCAGGGGAUUGUCGUUCUGCCCUGAAAAGGAAGGCUACUGUGACCCAUGCUGCAGCCCAGGUGAACGUGCAGGUGUGCCCAGCAGGGAAGGCUGUCCCGAGAAGACAGACAUCACAUGUGGCCAUUCAGGCUCCUGUAGUAAAAUGCCUUUGACAGUGUGAUUCAUAAGUAACAAAAAUUUGUUCCUCACUGUGCUGGAGGUUGGGAAGUCCAGAUCAAGGUGCCAGCAGAUUGGGGGGCAGAUGUCAUGUGACUUGUCCCUUGCCUCAAAGAUGACGUCUUCUUAUGGGUCCUCACAUGGAGGGAGGGACUCUUUGAUCAGGGCAUUCAUGAGGGUGCUGAGCUAAUCAUCCUUGUGAGCUAAUCAUUCCCCAAAGCUCCAUUCUUGAAUACUGCAUAUGGGGCAUCAGGUAGAGUCAAAGUAGAUUCCUCAGGGGACCCAAACCGACAAACCAUAGCAAUGUGACUCUGUAUCUGUGAAGGACACAGAGACUCAGACUCACAGAGACAAGGUGGAAUGUGGUUAUUGGGGUGACAGAGAAUUUGGGUUUAAUAGAAGUUUCAGAUUGGGCAGAUAAAAAACUCGUGUGGCUGGAUGGUAGUGAUGGUUUGAUAAUAAUGUGAAUACGCUUGAUAUCUCUGAACUGAAUGCCUAAAAAUGGACAAGAGGGUAAAUUUUUAUUUCAUGUACUCAUCUUGAUGGGGGUGGCUUCAUGGGGAUAUACGUGAGUCAAAGCUUAUCAAAUUUUUAAGUGUAGGGCUUAUGGCUGAUCAAUCAUAUCUUAACAAAGCUGCUUGAAAGUAACAAAUGUCUUUGCAAAGGGGCACUGCCUAUCUGAGCAGGAGAGCCUUUAUUAAACCUAGUGUGUUUAUGGACAUGAAUUCCUUCACCUUCUGCUAAUUGGUCUUAUAUCAAUAACUGGGGACUCUGCUUUAAUCCAUAAGAAAGUAAUUUGGGAAGAAAACCUGAGCUUGCAGUGGGAAGACUCAGAGGGAAGACUCCUUGUUCG
rnacentral:lncRNA from 1 species